AACUUUCAGCAACGGAUCUCUUGGCUCUCGCAUCGAUGAAAAACGCAGCGAAAUGCGAUAAGUAAUGUGAAUUGCAGAAUUCAGUGAAUCAUCGAAUCUUUGAACGCACCUUGCGCUCCUUGGUAUUCCGAGGAGCAUGCCUGUUUGAGUGUCAUUAAAUUCUCAACCUUAUCAGUUUAUUUCUGAUAGUGGCUUGGAUGUGGGGGUUUUCUUGCUGGCUGAGGUCAGCUCCCCUUAAAUGCAUUAGCUGGUGCCCCGUGUGGACUGUCUAUUGGUGUGAUAAUUAUCUACGCCAUGGAUGUCUGCAAGCACUGCUUCUAACCGUCUGUUAAUUCAGACAAUACAAUGACAAUUUGACCUCAAAUCAGGUAGGACUACCCGCUGAACUUAAGCAUAUCAAUAAGCGGAGGCU
rnacentral:misc_RNA from 1 species